CCGCGCAGGCGCGCGAUACGGAAGCGGGCGAGGGUCAAAAAAAGGGGCCCGGCCCCCUCCUCGGCGGGGAAAGUGUGCAGAAGUGACGGCGGUGUCCAUGGGGGAGCCGUAAAGAGCGCCAGAAACCACCAGACCUGGGCCGAGGGGUGGUGAAGCCUCGCAGACACGAAGUCAUGGCACCGGCCGUGCUCGGGGUUGCUGGGGUGCCCCCCCCACCGCCACGUUAUAUUUGUGGCAUUUAAUAGCUGUGGCCAUGCCCAGACUGGAGCUCGGGUAGCCGAGGGUGAAGUACAGUAACUCGUGGAGGUGCUGGGCAAUAGCAGCUUCCACUGAAGUCAUGCCAAGGAGAGCACCUGUGAGGAUGGGGUCCUGAGGUGUGACACGGACUGUCACCCCUGCGGUGCUCCACUUGCUUCUCUUGGGGGGGGGGGGGGGGAGCAUGCUUCUGCCUGCUCUCACAGCGCCUUCGAGUGAUGGGACAGAGCUGUUCGAUGGUUAUUUUUCCUGUCUUUAUCAUACUGCUUUGCAGCGUACCUGGCAACUCUGAAAAUACUUGUCUCUUGUGCUUUGUGACGUGAUCUGGAAACAAAAUAUGUAAUGACAUGAUCCAGAGAAAUGGCUGUUUCAAUAUAUCCAAUGUUGCGGAUAAACAGUGAACAUUGCUGCUUUCUACCCUGCCUCUGUGUUGCCAUGUGGAAGCUUUCUAACAGGAGUUGCAGUACCCUGGGGGAUGAAAAAGUCUGAAGGAGCGGUGUGCUAAAAUGUGAUGACUGUGCUCUCUGGACACCUCAGGUGCUUUAGUAAAUUUCCAUAUUCUGGC